UACAGAGGUCUCAAGCGUUGUUCGGAUUCAUUGGGCGUAAAGGGUACGUAGGUGGGUUGGUAAGUCAGUGGUGAAAUCUCCAGGCUUAACUUGGAAACUGCCAUUGAUACUAUCAAUCUUGAAUACCGUGGAGGUCAGCGGAAUAUGUCAUGUAGCGGUGAAAUGCUUAGAUAUGACAUAGAACACCAAUUGCGAAGGCAGCUGGCUACACGAAUAUUGACACUGAUGCACGAAAGCGUGGGGAUCAAACAGG
rnacentral:rRNA from 1 species